UACGGGAGGCAGCAGUGGGGAAUCUUGCGCAAUGGGCGAAAGCCUGACGCAGCCAUGCCGCGUGAAUGAUGAAGGUCUUAGGAUUGUAAAAUUCUUUCACCGGGGACGAUAAUGACGGUACCCGGAGAAGAAGCCCCGGCUAACUUCGUGCCAGCAGCCGCGGUAAUACGAAGGGGCUAGCGUUGCUCGGAAUUACUGGGCGUAAAGGGCGCGUAGGCGGAUCGUUAAGUCAGAGGUGAAAUCCCAGGGCUCAACCCUGGAACUGCCUUUGAUACUGGCGAUCUUGAGUAUGAGAGAGGUAUGUGGAACUCCGAGUGUAGAGGUGAAAUUCGUAGAUAUUCGGAAGAACACCAGUGGCGAAGGCGACAUACUGGCUCAUUACUGACGCUGAGGCGCGAAAGCGUGGGGAGCAAACAGGGAUUAGAUACC
rnacentral:rRNA from 1 species